rnacentral:rRNA from 1 species
UACGAAGGGGGCGAGCGUUGUUCGGAUUUACUGGGCGUAAAGGGCGCGCAGGCGGCGCAUUUUGUCAGGCGUGAAAGCCCCGGGCUCAACCUGGGAACCGCGCUUGAGACUGGAGAACUAGAGUUCGGGAGAGGAUGGUGGAAUUCCCAGUGUAGAGGUGAAAUUCGUAGAUAUUGGGAAGAACACCGAUGGCGAAGGCAGCCAUCUGGACCGACACUGACGCUGAGGCGCGAAAGCGUGGGGAGCAAACAGG